ensembl:misc_RNA Metazoa_SRP Metazoan signal recognition particle RNA
GCCGGGUGUGUUGGUGCGCACCUGUAAUCCCAGCUACUCGGGAGGCUGAGGCAGGAGAAUCGCUUGAACCCAGGAGGUGGAGGUUGCAGGGAGCCGAGAUCGCCCCAAUCUACUCCAGCCUGGGCAACAGAGCGAGACUCUGUCUCAA